rnacentral:rRNA from 1 species
UUCUGUAAGCCUGUGAAGGUGAGUUGAGAAGCUUGCUGGAGGUAUCAGAAGUGCGAAUGCUGACAUGAGUAACGACAAUGGGUGUGAAAAACACCCACGCCGAAAGACCAAGGGUUCCUGCGCAACGUUAAUCGACGCAGGGUUAGUCGGUUCCUAAGGCGAGGCUGAAAAGCGUAGUCGAUGGGAAACAGGUUAAUAUUCCUGUACUUCUGGUUACUGCGAUGGAGGGACGGAGAAGGCUAGGCCAGCUUGGCGUUGGUUGUCCA